UGUUGAUGAUGAGGGAAAUUUAUAGUCAUACUUUUAAAUCUCUCCUAAGCUUGGUAGAGAUUCUCUCGUUUUUUCUAUCCAAAACUCAUAAUCUCACUUCUCAAAUG